AUUGAACGCUGGCGGCAUGCCUUACACAUGCAAGUCGAACGGGAACGCGGGGCAACCUGGCGACGAGUGGCGAACGGGUGAGUAAUGCAUCGGAACGUGCCCAGUAGUGGGGGAUAGCCCGGCGAAAGCCGGAUUAAUACCGCAUACGACCUACGGGUGAAAGGGGGGGAUCGCAAGACCUCUCGCUAUUGGAGCGGCCGAUGUCAGAUUAGGUAAUUGGUGGGGUAAAGGCCUACCAAGCCGACGAUCUGUAGCUGGUCUGAGAGGACGACCAGCCACACUGGGACUGAGACACGGCCCAGACUCCUACGGGAGGCAGCAGUGGGGAAUUUUGGACAAUGGGCGCAAGCCUGAUCCAGCCAUGCCGCGUGCGGGAAGAAGGCCUUCGGGUUGUAAACCGCUUUUGUCAGGGAAGAAAUCUUCUGGGUUAAUACCUCGGGAGGAUGACGGUACCUGAAGAAUAAGCACCGGCUAACUACGUGCCAGCAGCCGCAGUAAAAC
rnacentral:rRNA from 1 species